UAGACUCGAUAACCUUUUACAUCCGCUGA
rnacentral:sRNA from 1 species